rnacentral:misc_RNA from 1 species
GGCAUGUUGCGAGAUGUUCCUUGGCGUGGUUCUGGUGUUGCAAUCCCCAUGUUCUCUGUUAGAUCAGAAGAGGAUCUUGGAGUUGGCGAGUUUCUUGACUUGAAAUUACUUGUUGACUGGGCUGUGGAGUCUGGUCUCCAUUUAGUUCAACUUCUACCCGUGAAUGAUACAUCUGUGCAUGGAAUGUGGUGGGACUCGUAUCCUUACAGCUCACUUUCUGUCUUUGCCCUGCAUCCAUUGUACUUGAGAGUCCAAGCACUUUCAGAUAAUAUUCCAGAGGAUAUCAAGCUGGAGAUUCAAAAGGCAAAAGUUGAACUGGAUGGAAAGGAUGUGGAUUAUGAGGCUACUAUGGCUGCUAAACUUACACUUGCACAGAAAAUUUUUGCUCGAGAG